CCACAGUCAUCAAUAGAACCUAAGAGUUAAGGCUGGAUCUUCAAGGGACCUCACAAUCUGUCUUUCUUCUUCCCUCUGUGCCUUUGCAGUCUCUUUUACUGACCCCAUCUCCUCCAGCCACCCUUUGAGAUCACGUUUCUCAGCUCACCACAUGCAUCACCUGGGGAGCUGGUUAAUAAUGCCAAGGUCAUGGAGGUGGAGCCUGAGAAUCUCAGUUCUUAGCCAGCUCCCUAGCUGAUUCCUUGGCUUCUUAAAGUUUAAUACCUAAUGCCUUAAAAAUACUAACUUUCUGAAAUUCUACCCUCGUAAUUUCUUCCUUCUUCUUUUAUGCUCAGCUAGCCCAUCACCUGGCAUGCAGGAGAUGGAUUCAGUAUUUAUGAGAUGAAUGAAUAAUGUCGACCAAAGCGCUAGCUUCAGCCACUGCCGGGUGCUGAGGACUCAAAUCAUCCCCAGCCCUUUCUCUUCUGAGCCCUCGACAAAACACCCAACUGCGGAACAUACAACAGCCAGAUGAUGGAUGCCUCCCGGAUGGGGCCAGUGCCGCUUCUGACCUCAUCCUACGCAAGGACGCACUUUGACUAGCUGCGCAAACUCUCUGGACUCAAGCGUGAAGCAACUUGAUUGGCUCCACUAAGUACCUGAAGAAGGUCAAAUUACUCUGAUCACGACAUGCUAAUUAUGUCUCUUCCGAAGGUUGCAUUUCUUUCGGCGUGUUCUCUGGUUGGGAUGAAGUAAUCACUUAUGACUUGGGUGCUUGGAACCGCCAUGGCUGAGUUUCUGUUUUCUGUGAAGUCCGUGGCCUUAGGUUGGCAGGAGUCUGGUCAUCAUCUUAGGGGUGGUGUUGAGUGUGGUCAAGCAAGGAUAUUCUGGAGCCAGACUUCCGGCCGGACUCCCUGGUCUGCCCCUUAAAAGGAAAACAAAAAGAUGUCCCCUCCUCUUGUGGUCAUCCAGUGGAGGCACGAAGGAAUCCCACCCCUAGUUUGUUUGGAUGUCAAGGCUGAUGAUACCACACAAACACCGAAAGGGUUUGAAACACUUCAUCACACGUGAAUGUAGAAGGCGGACAGUUGACUCCAGGCUCGAUGUACUCAGCCCCAUUUGGACAGGAAGUCUAAAAAUGCCUAUGAGCUGCUGUCAACCAAACCCACAUAGGGUUAGGAUUCUUCUGGCUUGUCCUUUCCUGGAGGUAUUUCCAGAAGAUUCAGGACCCUGUGGGAUGCUGAGAAUUGGAACUUCCUGUGUGACCUGAUCCCUAUUUAGUGUUCUAGACUUUAAUUAGCUACCUACCCUAAUUUCUUUAGUUAGUAUCUUAGCAUUCCCUGAGCCAAUCCUAAUGACCUAAAAUCUCAUCAACUUCUCUCUGAGGAAAACCAGAACAUUCAGUCCUAUUAUGUCCCCUCCCCCCUCCCUUUUUUUUCAGAACAGAAAAAAAUGGAGAAAGAAUCAACUACAUUUUUUCAUCUAUGCA